AUUGAACGCUGGCGGCAUGCCUUACACAUGCAAGUCGAACGGUAACAGGUCUUCGGAUGCUGACGAGUGGCGAACGGGUGAGUAAUACAUCGGAACGUGCCUAGUAGUGGGGGAUAACUACUCGAAAGAGUGGCUAAUACCGCAUGAGAUCUACGGAUGAAAGCAGGGGAUCGCAAGACCUUGUGCUACUAGAGCGGCCGAUGGCAGAUUAGGUAGUUGGUGGGAUAAAAGCUUACCAAGCCGACGAUCUGUAGCUGGUCUGAGAGGAGGGUCAGCCACACUUGGACUGAGACACGGCCCAGACUCCUACGGGGGGCAGCAGUGGGGAAUUUUGGACAAUGGGCGCAAGCCUGAUCCAGCAAUGCCGCGUGCAGGAUGAAGGCCUUCGGGUUGUAAACUGCUUUUGUACGGAACGAAAAGCCCUGGGUUAAUACCCUGGGGUCAUGACGGUACCGUAAGAAUAAGCACCGGCUAACUACGUGCCAGCAGCCGCCGUAACAC
rnacentral:rRNA from 1 species